rnacentral:misc_RNA from 1 species
GCAACUUCUCUGGCCAAAGUUGCUGAUGUGGAUCGGGGUCUUGGUAAUGAAGAUGUGGCGAUAAGUGGAUUUCAGGAAGCUAUCAAAUGCCUAGAAUCUUUGAAGCUGGAUGCUGAUGAAAUCGGUCUAGAGAAACGGCGCCGCUCUGUGCUCGAUUUCCUUCACAACCAGCUCGCAGAAUCCCAGAAACCAGUCCCUGUUUCCCCUGCAUGAAUAUGUGCUAUUAUCUGUCCCUGUUUCCCCUGCAUGAGUAUGUGCUAUUAUCGGUACUGUUUGACUAGAGAUGUAUU